rnacentral:lncRNA from 1 species
GGUGUGUGAGUGACACUGUCCUUCAGGGGAGCAGAACAGGCAAUUAAUGUAAAAUCGUGUGAGAGUAAAAUGGACAAACAAAAGGGUGUGCCAUGUAUAAGGCUAGUCAGUGGAUAUUCUGAAAGUAGUUUGAAGGAUGUAGGUCACAUGACCAGGGAACAGUUGGAAUAAAAAAAUGUUUUAAAACUUAAUGUAAAACCGUGUGAGAUGAAAAUGGACAAACUAAAGGUUGUGUAUUAUAGGAGGGUAGUCAUGACAUGACCAAGGAGCUAUUAAAAUUCUAAAGUUUUCAAAAUUCAUCUAAAAACGUGUGAGAUGAAAAUGGACAAACUAGAUGGUGUGCAAUGUGAAGGCCAACAGAAAGUACGUUUUGAACCUUGAUUGAGGUCAGUUGGUCACAUGACCAAGGAGCUAUUGAAAUUUGAAUUGUGAAAAAUGCAUGUAAAAUUGAGUGAGAUGAAAAUGGACAAACUAAAGGGUGUGAAAUGUGUAGACCCACUGAGUGUACUUUCAGAACCUAGUUUGAGGUCAGUAGGUCACAUAACCAAGGAGCUAUUGAAAUGUACAACUUUGAAAAAUGUAUGUAAAAUCACCUGAGAUGAAAAGGGACAAACAUAUAGGUGUGCAAUAUAGAAAGGUAGUUAUUGGACAUUCUGAACCUUGGUUGAGGUCAGUAGGUCACAUGACCAAGGAGCUACUGAAAUGUAACAUUGAAAUGAUUUUAAAUAGUGUGAGAUCUAAACCCACAACAAAAAUCGUCAAAUAGGUUGCGUGGCCAAGGAGCUAUUGAGGAGCUAUUGAUAUUUUUAAUUAUUGUAAAAAAUCAUGUGAGAUGAAAAUGGACAAACUAAAGGUGUGCAAUAUGUUGGCCCACUGAGUGUACAUUCUGAACUUUGUUUGAGGUCAAUAGGUCACAUUGCCAAUGAGAUAUUGAAAUUUACAAUUUUGAAAAAUGUAUGUAAAAUCACCUGAGAUGAAAAGGGACAAACAUCCUUGGUUGAGGUCAGUAGGUCACAUGACCAAGGAGCUAUUGAAAUUGAACAUUUAAAUUAUUUAACAGUAGGUCACAUGACCAAGGAGCUAUUGAGGAGCUAUUUUAACAGUAAAAAAUUCAUGUAAAAUCGACUGAGAUGGAAAUGUACAAACUAAACUGUGUGCAAUGUGUAGGUGCACUGAGUGUACAUUCUGAACCUUGAUUGAGUCUAGUUGGUGACAUGACCAAGGAGCUAUUGAAAUGAGAACGUUUGAAAAAUUAAUGUAAAAUCGUGUGAGAUGAGAAUGGACAAACUAAAGGUUGUGCAAUAUGGAAGGGUAGUCAUUGGACAUUCUGAACCUUGUUUGAGUCCAGCUAUAUAUAAGGCUUGUCAGUGGAUAUUCUGACAGAAGUUUGAGGGUUGUAGGUCACAUGACCAGAGAGCUAUUGAAAUUCGAAACAUUUCCGUAAAAUCACCUGAGAUGAAAGUGGACUAAUUCAAGGGUGUGCAAUAUAUAAGGCUAGUAACAGGAUGUUCUGAAAGUAGUUUGAGGGUUGUAGGUCAUAUGACCAAGGAGCUAUUGAAAUGAGAAACAUUGAAAAACAUUGAAAAUUAAAUGUAAAAACUCUUGAGAUUAAAAUGGCUACAUAUAAGGCUACUCAGUGGAUAUUCUGACUGCAGUUUGAGGGUUGUAGGUCACAUGACCAGAGAGGUAUUGAAAUUCAAAACAAUAACAAACAUAGA